GUUGGCUGGACUGGUUUACAUAAUUUUCAGCAAGUCCAGAGCUCUGCAGUUUGCAUCCCUGGAUGAAGUCUGUCAGCCAAGUGAAAAUCUGUUGAGACAAAUAUAGACUCGGGACAGAAGGAUCCCGGAGGCCCUCACCCACACCAUGGAAUCCCAGUCCCCCAACAGCUUCCGUGAUGGGGCUUCUUUUAGGAAAACCAAACUCUUCUGGAGGCCAAGACCUGAAGGCCUGCACAGGGCGCCCAAGCCCACCAGGGGGUAGUGUCUACCCGUGCGGAGAGGCCCUGAGAGGCCCAAGCAGAGGAAGGCAGAGGCCAGAUCUUGUUAGGCAGUGCAGACGUGCACAAGAGAACGUGCUGGCCUCAGACCAGGCCUGGAGCGUGCAGUACCCUGCGUAUGCCUAGGUGUGGCCUCAGGUGCCAGACACUCAGCUGGUCGCUCUGACUUCCGGACCUCUGUCUGAAAAUUUCCCUGGCAGUCUGCAAUCCUUUGUCCACGGAGGCGGGAAGCUUAGCAGUUUGUCUUCUUUAUAGCCUGCAUCUUUAGAGGUGUUAAGGUCCCCUAGCCAUUGAUGGGAGGUGCGGAGCAGACUGGGAAGGGGAGGAGUGGGGGAUGGGGCCUCAUUUGCCUUCUGCUGCUUAAAGAGAUGCUUUGAUUUCUAAACGUUUGCAGUUUGUGAAAGCCUUAUUUGAAAAGACUCUUAGCUUAGGCAAGCUGCCAGUAUUCUACUAUCCUUGAGGUUCUUCACUCAUGAUCAGGGGUCUGGGUGAGACUUCCUAGCCAGCUGUCCC
rnacentral:lncRNA from 1 species